CAGACGACACUGGGACCGGUGGCUAUACCGGAUGUGCCGAAGAGGUGAAAGAUUUAUUGCCUGAAGAUGAGCUCGCGUCUGAUUAGCUAGUUGGGGGGGUAAAAGCCUACCAAGGCGACGAUCAGUAGCUGGUCUGAGAGGAUGAUCACCCACACUGGAACUGAAACACGGCCCAAACUCCUACGGGAGGCAGCAGGGGGGAAUUUUCCGCAAUGGGCGAAAGCCUGACGGAGCAAUACCGCGGGAGGGAGGAAGGCUCUUGGAUUGUAAACCUCUUUUCUCAGGGAAUAAAAAAUGGAGGGUACCGGAGAAAUAACCAUCGGUUACCUCCGGGCCACCACCCGGGGAAAUAGGGAGGAGGCAAGCGUUAUCCGAAAUGUUUGGGCGUAAAGCGCCCGCGGGGGGCUAUGUAAGUCUGCUGUAAAAGAGGCUACCUCACCUAAAUAAGAGCAGGGGAAACUACAUGGUUAGAGUGCGUUCGGGGCAAAGGAUAUUCCCUGGUGUAGCGGUGAUAUGCGUAGAGUUCAGAAAAAAACACCGGGGGGCGAAAGCGCUCUAGCUGAGACCGCAACUGACACUGAGGGACGAAAGCUAUGGGAGCGAAUGGGAUUAGAUACCCC
rnacentral:rRNA from 1 species